UCCUUCCUAACGUUAACAACAAAUUGAAGUUUAAACACCUCCUUUACCCUUUCAAAGAUUCUUACUAUGUUUCUGACCAAUUUUACUUACGUGGUAUUGUAAAGUAUGUUGACUUUAUAUUGCUGUGCAUUUGAAUAGCAUCACAGAAGAAAGACAAGAAAUCUAAAGAUGAAUCAUAUAAAAUCUUUUUGCUAUGAAGGGGGGAACAGAUCAAGAAAUGUCAUAGUUAAAUAGCUACAGCUGCUUAGGUAUGAGAGAGUUCCCAAAUGCAGUACUGAGAAGAGAAAAAAAGGCAACUAGAAUGUAUGACACCAACAAAACUAUUUUUCUUUUUGAAUUAAAAAUAAGAAUACUGGGGACUUCCCUGGUGGUGCGGUGCUUAAGAAUCCACAUGCCAAUGUAGGGGACACGGGUUCGAUCCCUGGUCCGGGAAGACCCCAUGUGCUGGGGAGCAACUAAGCCGGUGAGCCACAACUACUGAAGCCCAUGUGCCUAAAGCCCGUGCUCCGCAACAAACUCCACCGCAAUGAGAAGCCUGUGCACCACAAUGAAAAGUAGCCCCCACUUGAUGCAACUGAGAAAGCCUGCAUGCAGCAACAAAGACUCAACGCAGCCAUAAAUAAACAAUCUUUUGUCAUUUACAGACAGUUCUGGGUGUAUUCUGAUGCUUUUGAAAGUAUGUUCCUAUAAAAGGGUUUCAUCUUCAAGGAAUUCAUGGAAAAGACUCUGACAAGUACAGGUUUCUGGUAACUGACUAUACUGCUGAACUGAAUGAAUAAGCAUUUUCAGAACUCUAAUGGAAAGCUGAUGAACUCAUAAAAGUGCUAACAAAAGAUCAAGAUAAAAAAAAUUAAUUACACGGGACUGAGUGAACUGAUGAGGAUGUUUAUAAUUUUUGUGACUUUCUGUUUGAAUAAAAAAAAUAUAUAUAUAUAUACACACAUACACAUACAUAUGUACUAUUUGCUCAACUCCUAAAUAUACACUUUUCACAUUUUAAUGUUCUUAAAAAGGAUGACUAAUAAGAAAAUAAACAUUAAAAUUUUAAAAAGCAUUUCCAAUAUAAAAUAGAGCAAAAAAGGGAAUGAAAUGUUGCCAUUUGCAGCAGCAUGAGUGGACUCCGAUGGCAUUAUGCUAAGUGAAAUAAGUCAGACAGAGAAAGACAAAUACUGCAUGUUAUCACUUAUAUGUGGAAUCGAAAAAAAAUACAACAAACUAGUGAAUAUAACAAAAAAGAAGCAGACUCAACAGAUAAAGAGAACAAACUAAUGGUUACCAGUGGGGAGAGAAGGGGAGGGGUCUGGGAGUAGGAAGUAUAAACUAUUGGGUGUAAGAUAGGCUCCAGGAUGUAUUGUACAACAUGGGGAAUGCAGCCAAUAUUUUGUAAUAACUAUAAAUGGAAAGUAACCUUUAAACAUUGUAUAUAAAAACUAGAGCAACUGUACUGUAGGAACACAAUAUGCCUUCUAAUCCCCUGUAUAUAAAAUAGCUACCCUAUUCUCCAUAGCAUUAUCUUAUUCUAGAAUUUUUUGGCCUGUCAGUAUUGAUAACUUAUCUUUAAAUAAAAUAGCUGAAGUAUUAAAAAGAAAUAAUAAAGGAAGUCCUUUAGGCAGAAGAAAAAUGAUUCCAGAUUAAAAUAUGGAUCUACACUAAGUAAUGAAGAACACCAUAAGUGGUUAAAUAUGUGGAUUAAUAUUAAAGACUCAUUUCUUCAAAAAAUCAUUGAUCACUUAAAAUGCAAAUAACAAUGUAUUGUGGGAUUUAUAACAUGAUAGAAAUAAAAUAUAUGGCAACAGUAGUACUAAGAACAGGAAGAGAGAGAGAACAGGAAGAGAGAUAGAAGUAUACUGUUAAAGGAUUCUUAUAUGUGAAGUGGUAUAAUGCUGUUUAUUUAUUUGAAGUUAAAGAUAUAUAUAUAAUAUACAUAACAAACCAAAGAGCAAAAUGUAAAAUAAAAAAAAGUUUUUUAAUUAAAAUUUAAAACAAAUACUUAGGACAAUAGGACAUAAAAUAGAAUCAUUAAAAGGUACCAUAAAAAAGAAACAAAUGCGAGAACAAAUGGGACAAAUAGAAAAUAGAAAAAUCUUUUCAUUCAAGGCAACAAUAGGGAUAAUCACAUUAAAGUCAAUAAAUUGUCUAAACACUCCAAUUAAGGGCAGAGAUUGCCUGAGUGGAAAAAAAAAUUCAGAUCCAAUAUAUGUUGCCUACGACAAAUACAGUUUAAAAAUAAAUUAAAAGAAUGAAAAAUGUAUACCAUGAAAACACUAAUUAAAUGAAGGCUGAAGUGGCUAUAUUAAUGGAUCAUUAAUAUAGACAAAGUAUAUUUGAGAACAAGAAAAAUUUUGAGAGAUAAAUAGGGAGAAUGAUUAUGAAGUCAAUUCAUCUAGAAGAUAUAGCAACCUUUUAUGUGGAUUCAUCUGGUAACAGACCUUCAAAAUACAUGGAGAAAUACUGAGAGUUAGAAGGAAAAACAGACAAAUCUACAACUAAGGCUGAGGAUGCAAACAUUCUUCUUUCAAUAAUCGAUAGAAUUAUUAGGCAAAAAAUAAUUAGAAUAUAGAAGUUCUGAACAACACUAUUGACAUCCUUGACUAAACUGAAAUUUAUAGAACUCUCCAUCCAAUACUCUUAAUAGCAUCAAAUUAUAAAAUAGGUAUAAAUUUAACACAUGUAGAAAAUAUGUAUACUGAAAAUUAUAAACCAUGCUGAGGGAAAUGAAGGAAGACCUAAAUAAAGAGAUGUACCUUGAUCAAUGGUCAGAAAACUCAAUAUUGUUCAUUUUCCCCAAAUUGAUCCACAAAGUGAAAGCAAUUCCAAACAAAAUCCCAGCAGACUUUUUUUGUUUAAGAAAUUGAAACAUGAU